GGCGUGAGCCACCGUGCCCGGCCUUGUCUGGAUUUUUUUACUCUUCUUCAUUUUCCAAAACCUUUCAGGGCCAGUGAUUAUAUCUUCUGCUUCCAACAGAACACAAGAUGGGCAUAUGCUCAGUAAAUAUGUUCUAUAUUUGCUUAUGGCUUUGAAACAGCGUGCAGCAGAGUCUGUGAAUUGCCCAUUAGGAUGUUUUAGAUAAGACAGUAGAAUGUUAAUUACUACUUGGGGUAGAAAAAUGUGGCCACUUCAGAUGGUGGUUCACAAUUAUUUCCUAUGAUGAGGGUCCUGCACUUCACUGAGAAUCAUUGAAUAGAGAUGAUCAUUUCUCUCCUACCAUCAAGGAGGACCUUUCUAACUAUUUCCAGUACCCAUUUUCCCCUAAGUGACCUUGUUUCAAAUAGUCUUAAUGAUGUAUUCAAUCUAUUUCAAUUCAUUUUUUUUUUCACUUUAUGUGCCAUUAAGAAAAUACAAGAGAUAAUCCAAAGGUGUAAUAGAUUUUCAUCUUUAUAAAAUUGCGUGUGUGUGUGUGUGUGUGUGUGUGUGUGUGUGUGUGUAUUUUAGGGUAUGAGGAUAGAAACCAGAAUAAAACUAAUGACUCACUGCUGGGCAAUAAGAUCUUGCAGUAUCUUUGCUGCUUGAAAGUAAAAAUCUAAGUUAGACCAAGGCAAGUGAUAGAGAAGCACUAAUGGGAAGGUCCCUCUGAGCACUAAACAGUGGCUUCCAUUGAGAUUUGGGAAGCUUUUUGUUCAUGCAAAAUGAGGACGAAAUACUGGAAAACGACUGGAGAAAAAAGGCAUCCCUGGGGAACAACAUUCAUCUGAAGAGCCAACUGGGAGCCGGGAUGGGAAACUACUAAAGUUUGAUGCACCAGACUUUGGCCUGAUGCGCUCUCAGCAAAAUGUACAGAGGAGAUGGCCACUUGGUCUUUGGGAGCCCCUGGCUCUCUCUUUUUAAUGACACUAGCUGCUCUUAGCGCCCACUACAGGAAAUGAAGCAAUGGAAGAAGCGCACCUCAUGUGAAAGCAUUUGGAUUUUGCUAGGCUAUUUUCUGAGUAGUAUUUGUCCCGUGGAAAAAUACAGAAGAGGAAAUGAU
rnacentral:lncRNA from 1 species